AAAAAAACAAACCCUGAUUUCCGUGUCCAACGUUCGACCGUCCGUCUUAUUUGAAAAAAUUAUGAAAAAAAAUUAAAAAGAUAAGUCACGCAUAAAGUAUUAAUCAUGUUUUAUCAUCUAACGACAAUGAAAAUACUAAUUAUAAAAAAAUUUCAUAUAAGACAGACAGUUAAACAUUGGCACGGAAACACAAGGUUUGUCUUUUU
rfam:Oryza sativa Japonica Group DNA, chromosome 2, cultivar: Nipponbare, complete sequence.